AUUGAACGCUGGCGGCAGGCCUAACACAUGCAAGUCGAGCGGAGCGGCGGACGGGUGAGUAAGGCCUAGGGAUCUGCCUGGUAGUGGGGGAUAACGUCCGGAAACGGGCGCUAAUACCGCAUACUAUCAGAUGAGCCUAGGUCGGAUUAGCUAGUUGGUGGGGUAAAGGCCUACCAUGGCGACGAUCCGUAACUGGUCUGAGGAGAUGAUCAGUCACACUGGAACUGAGACACGGUCCAGACUCCUACGGGAGGCAGCAGUGGGGAAUAUUGGACCAUGGGCGAAAGCCUGAUCCGGCCAUGCCGCGUGAGUGAAGAAGGUCUUCGGAUUGUGAAGCUCUUUAGGUUGGGAGGCGGUAAAAACAGAAUAAGCAACGGCUGACGUAGUGCCAGCAGCCGCGGUAAUAC
rnacentral:rRNA from 1 species